GGUUAAGCGACUAAGCGUACACGGUGGAUGCCCUGGCAGUCAGAGGCGAUGAAGGACGUGCUAAUCUGCGAUAAGCGUCGGUAAGGUGAUAUGAACCGUUAUAACCGGCGAUUUCCGAAUGGGGAAACCCAGUGUGUUUCGACACACUAUCAUUAACUGAAUCCAUAGGUUAAUGAGGCGAACCGGGGGAACUGAAACAUCUAAGUACCCCGAGGAAAAGAAAUCAACCGAGAUUCCCCCAGUAGCGGCGAGCGAACGGGGAGGAGCCCAGAGCCUGAAUCAGUGUGUGUGUUAGUGGAAGCGUCUGGAAAGGCGCGCGAUACAGGGUGACAGCCCCGUACACAAAAAUGCACAUG
rnacentral:rRNA from 1 species